rnacentral:rRNA from 1 species
AAAUUUUGAUCCAGUAAGCACGGUUUUGGCCUUUUCGCCAUUCUGUUGGCUCGGUUAUUAGCAUCAACAGCUUUGUAAUAGCGUCUGCCCCGAUUACGCUGAACUUCACGUGAGAUCGUCGAAGGACUGCGAUUCAGCGCAGUAGCUAUCGCACGAAUGCUCAUUUUGGCUGACAAACCAGCUCGUAUCUCCUCGCGCUCAGACAGUGUCAGGUGAGCUACAGCCCGCUUACGCUCAUGGGGUUUUAUGCCGCCAGUAUCCCUUAACAUAGUGAAGAUCGUUCCGGGUUUUGAACCCAGGAUAUUCGCUAUUUCACUGAAGCCUGUUCCGUUCUUCCAUAGUUCAAAAACAGAGGCUUUUUCC